UACGUAGGGACCAAGCGUUGUUCGGAUUUACUGGGCGUAAAGGGCGCGUAGGCGGCGCGGUAAGUCACUUGUGAAAUCUCUGAGCUUAACUCAGAACGGCCAAGUGAUACUGCAGUGCUAGAGUGUGGAAGGGGCAAUCGGAAUUCUUGGUGUAGCGGUGAAAUGCGCAGAUAUCAGGAAGAACACCCGUGGCGAAGGCGGUUCUCUGGGACGGUACUGACGCUGAGACGCGAAAGCGUGGGGAGCGAACAGG
rnacentral:rRNA from 1 species